AUGCGAAGCGAAGCAGCGAUGCGAAGCAAAUCGCACCAAAGCCGGUUCCAGUUCGGAUAAGAGGCUGAAACUCGCCUCUUUGAAGUCGGAAUCGCUAGUAAUCGCAGAUCAGCAUGUUGCGGUGAAUACGUUUCCUGGUCUUGUACACACCGCCCGUCAAACCAUGAGAGUCGCCAACACCCGAAGUCCGCUUUGCGGCCUAAGGUGGGGGAGAUGAUUGGGGUUAAGUCGUAACAAGGUAAC
rnacentral:rRNA from 1 species